rnacentral:rRNA from 1 species
AAGGAAGAUGGAGGUCUGGGGUAUAAGGAGUUGCACACAUUCAGUUUGGCGAUGCUAGCAAAAUAAGGAUGGCGGCUCUUGACCGAUCCUAAUUCGCUUUGUGCUCGGAUAUUGAGAGCUAUAUAUUACCCAGAUGGUGAUGUACUAAGCGCCAAGCCUAAACCAGGAAUUUCAUAUGCUUGGCGGAGUAUUUUGAAAGGAAUCACAGUACUUAAGGAUGGCCUGGUUAAACGGGUCGGCAACGGAGAAGAAACUGAUAUUUGGGUAGACCCGUGGCUACCAGGAGAUGACUGUAGGAAGCCUAUAACGCCGAGGGGUCAGAUAGUAUUACAGAAGGUGCCUGAACUAAUUAAUCCAGUGACCGGUACAUGGGAUGAAGUUUUGGUUCGGGAGCUGUUCUGGGCGCCGGAUGUGAAGGCCAUAUUGGCGCUGCCCUUGUUCGAGGAUUUCGUGGACUCGUGGGCAUGGCAUUUUGCGCCUAAUGGACAGUUUUCUGUCAAAACAGCAUAUCGCGUGAUUAGGGAUAAUCAGCAACGGCAGGCUCGACGGCAGACGGGUGAAUCAAGUACGUGGGUAGAGAAAUUUAGAUGGAGCUCGAUUUGGAAGAUCCAAUGCCCUGAGAAAGUUAAGCAGUUUUUGUGGAGAUUUGCUCAUAAUAGCCUUCCGCACCGUCUGAGUAUUUCUCGGCGGGGCAUGGAAGUGGAUACACUUUGCCCAGUUUUGUGGGCGUAA